UAGCAUCCACAUACUUCCGCAUUCCGCCAUCUUAGCUCGAUCCUGUUCCAGCUGUCUCUUCCUGGUUACAGAUGACACGCCAGCUUGGCCAAUCUAAGGGGACUAGUAUGCUUGCCUUCCUUAUAAGGUGACGGUUGGCAGCCAGUAAAUCCUCCAAUAGGGGAUAGAUUUCUCUCCCCUGCCUGAAAUAUAAGGUGACGGUUGGCAGCCAGUAAAUCCUCCAAUAGGGGAUAGAUUUCUCUCCCCUGCCUGAAAUAUAAGGUGACGGUUGGCAGCCAGUAAAUCCUCCAAUAGGGGAUAGAUUUCUCUCCCCUGCCUGAAAUAUAAGGUGACGGUUGGCAGCCAGUAAAUCCUCCAAUAGGGGAUAGAUUUCUCUCCCCUGCCUGAAAUAUAUAUAAGCUUGCUCCCGAGGUGGAUCGGGGCUCGCCGUCCACGACAUCGCUGUAACUCAACUUGAUUCCUGCAAUAAAGAUUGCUGACGAGAA